AACGAACGCUGGCGGCAGGCUUAACACAUGCAAGUCGAGCGGAAGUUGGAGAGCUUGCUCUUCAACUUUAGCGGCGGACGGGUGAGUAACACGUGGGCAACCUGCCCUGCAGAUCGGGAUAACUCCGGGAAACCGGUGCUAAUACCGAAUAGUUUUCGCCACCUCCUGGUGGCGUACGGAAAGACGGUUUCGGCUGUCACUGCAGGAUGGGCCCGCGGCGCAUUAGCUAGUUGGUGGGGUAACGGCCCACCAAGGCGACGAGGCGUAGCCGACCGGAGAGGGGGAUAGGCCACACUGGGACUGAGCACCGGCCCAGACUCCUACGGGAGGCAGCAGUAGGGAAUCGUCCGCAAUGGACGAAAGUCUGACGGAGCAACGCCGCGUGAGUGACGAAGGUUUUCGGAUCGUAAAACUCUGUUGUGAGGGAAGAACAAGUACCAACUAACUACUGGUACCUUGACGGUACCUCACCAGAAAGCCACGGCUAACUACGUGCCAGCCGCCGCGGUAAAAC
rnacentral:rRNA from 1 species